UGUCUGGUGAAUGCGCAUGCGCUCGGACUCCAGCUUUGGCGUUUGGAGGAGAAGCAUCUGUCCCAGAUGAAUAAUGGUUAAGGAACAAUCUGAAAUUCAAUUCAAAAAGAAGAAAGAAGAUAAUAGGUAAAAGUCUACAGAUUUAUCUACCCAAGAUAACUUUGGUGUGAGAAAAUUUAAUUUGAAAUCAGAAUUGAAAUUUGGUGCCUGCUUGUCAGUUUGUAAGCUACAAAAAAAAAAAAAAAAAAUCCAGACGUUUGCAGCUAUAAAUUUAUACAAAGAUAAUUUCAGAAUGUCUAGCAAGGAAGUAAAAACUGCUCUAAAAAGUGCUAGAGAUGCAAUCAGAAACAAAGAAUACAAAGAAGCUUUGAAACAUUGUAAGACAGUGUUAAAACAAGAGAAAAAUAACUAUAACGCCUGGGUUUUUAUUGGUGUUGCUGCAGCCGAGUUAGAACAACCUGAUCAGGCUCAGGGUGCCUAUAAAAAAGCUGCUGAACUAGAGCCAGAUCAAUUACUGGCUUGGCAGGGGUUAGCAAGCUUAUAUGAGAAAUGUAACCACAUAAAUGCUAAGGAUGAUUUGCCUGGUGUUUACCAGAAGCUCCUGGAUCUUUAUGAAAGUGUUGACAAACAGAAGUGGUGCGAUGUCUGUAAGAAACUUGUGGAUCUGUAUUACCAAGAAAAGAAACACGUAGAGGUGGCCCGAACAUGGCACAAGUUGAUAAAGACACGGCAGGAGGAAGGUGCAGACAGCCAAGAGCUUCACCAGCUGUGGAAGAAAUUGACUCAGUUGCUGGCUGAGAGUACUGAGGAUCAGAAUAAUGAGACCCAGCAAUUGCUUUUAGCUGCUUUUGAGAAUGCACUGGACUUAUCAGAUAAGAUUCCUAGUGAAGAUCACCAAGUACUUUAUAGACAGUUCAUUCACUGUUUAUCCAAAUUUCCUCAUGAGACCGCUAGAUUGAAGAAGGCCUGUGAAGGAAUGAUAAACAUCUAUCCCACUGUACAAUAUCCAUUAGAAGUGCUUUGUUUGCAUUUAAUUGAAUCAGGCAGUCUUACUGAUGAAGGACAGCAGUAUUGUUGCAGAUUAAUGGAAAUGGAUUCCAGAAGUGGUCCAGGCUUCAUUGGUUUAGGCAUUAAAGCAUUACAAGACAAAAAGUAUGAAGAUGCUGUUAGUAACCUAACAGAAGGGUUAAAGGAAAGCCCUCUUUGCACAGCUGGAUGGUAUCAUCUGGCAGAAGUCCAAGUUAAAAUGCAUAGACCUAAGGAAGCUGUUCUUUCUUGCAAUCAAGCUCUGAAGAACAUAGACAAUCUUGGUGUGUCUGGUGGCAGUCUUCAUCAGAAGAAUCUUUGUCUCCGUUUGAAAGCAGAGGCUUUGAUUAAACUCUCAGAUUAUGAAUCUUCAGUGGAAGCAAUUUGUACUCUUAAUCAGGUUUCUGAUGCAAAUAAUAUCCCAGGACUUUUGGUCCUUAAAAGCUUGGCCUAUCUGAACAAAGGUUCAUUAGAUGAAGCUUCAAAGAUUAUGGAAGACCUUCUCUCUUCUUACCCUGACCUAGCUGAAGUUCAUGCCCUGGAAGCUUUGAUUCAUUUUACCAAAAAGGACUAUCUACAAGCAGAGAAAUGUUUUCAGAGAGCUAUUAAGAGAGAUGCUGAAGUUGCUGAAUAUCAUUACCAACUUGGGUUAACAUAUUGGUUCAUGAAUGAAGAAACAAGAAAAGAUAAAACAAAGACUCUUACCCACUUUCUAAAGGCUGCCAGACUGGAUCCAUACAUGGGCAGAGUUUUCCGCUAUUUAGGUCAUUACUACAGAGAUGUGGUAGGAGAUAAAAACAGAGCCCGUGGCUGUUAUAGGAAAGCUUUUGAAUUAGAUGAUACUGAUGCUGAAUCUGGGGCUGCGGCAGUUGACCUAAGUGUGGAGCUUGAAGAGAUGGAAACUGCCUUAGCUAUCCUAACAGCAGUAACUCAAAAGGCAAGUGCUGGAACGGCAAAAUGGGCCUGGCUUAGGCGAGGACUAUACUAUUUGAAAGCUGGUCAGCAUUCUCAGGCUGUGGCUGAUUUACAGGCAGCAUUAAGGGCAGACCCAAAGGACUUCAAUUGUUGGGAGUCAUUAGGAGAGGCAUACUUAAGCAGAGGUGGCUAUACGACAGCCUUGAAAUCCUUCACAAAAGCCAGUGAGCUGAACCCAGAAUCCACAUACAGUGUGUUUAAGGUUGCAGCAAUACAGCAAAUCCUAGGCAAAUACAAGGAGGCGGUAGCUCAAUACCAGCUGAUCAUUGAAAAGAAAGAAGAUUAUGUGCCAGCUUUGAAAGGUUUGGGCGAAUGCCAUCUCAUGAUGGCAAAAGCAGCUCUCGUCGAUUAUCUUGAUGGGAAAGCUGUAGACUACAUCGAAAAAGCACUGGAAUAUUUUACUUGGGCUCUGCACCAUCAAGCUGAUGUCUCUUGCCUUUGGAAGCUAGUUGGGGAUGCUUGUACCAGUCUGUAUGCUGUCUCACCAUCUAAAGUGAAUGUUACUGUUUUAGGAGUCCUUUUAGGUCAGAAAGAAGGCAAACAAGUAUUAAAGAAGAAUGAGCUCCUCCAUCUUGGAGGAAGGUGUUAUGGUCGUGCGUUAAAACUGAUGUCUACAUCUAAUACGUGGUGUGACCUUGGAAUUAAUUAUUAUCGCCAAGCACAACAUCUAGCAGAAACAGGCAGCAGUACAAAUGAUCCUAAAGAAUUGUUGGAGAAAUCUUUACAUUGUCUGAAAAAGGCAGUGAGACUUGACAGUAAAAAUCACUUAUACUGGAAUGCUCUUGGAGUGGUUUCAUGUCACAAUGGUAUUAGAAAUUACGCCCUUGCUCAACACUGUUUCAUCAAGUCUAUCCAGUCGGAACAAAUUAAUGCUGUUGCAUGGACCAACUUGGGAGUGUUAUACCUUGCAAAUGAAAACAUUGAGCAAGCUCAUGAAGCUUUCAAAAUGGCUCAAUCUCUUGAUCCAUCUUAUUUAAUGUGCUGGAUUGGACAAGCUCUUAUUGCAGAGACAGUUGGAAGUUAUGACACUAUGGAUCUUUUCAGGCACACUACAGAACUCAGUAUGCAUACUGAGGGAGCAAUAGGUUAUGCGUACUGGGUCUGUACGACACUGCAAGACAAAAGCAACAGAGAUACAGAGCUGUACCGGUACAACAUUGUUCAGAUGAAUGCUAUUCCAGCAGCACAAGUUGUUUUGAGUAAAUACAUAGAAAGAAUUCAGAAUUAUGCUCCAGCUUUCACAAUGUUGGGUUACUUAAAUGAACAUCUACAACUGAAAAAGGAAGCCACAGAGGCAUACCAGAGGGCAAUGUUAUUGUUACAGACUGCGGAAGACCAAGAUACUUACAAUGUUACAGUAAGAAAUUAUGGGAGAUUGUUAUGUUCCAUUGGUGAAUAUGAUAAAGCUAUCCAGGCUUUUAAGUCAACACCCCUUGAAGAGUUAGAAGACACCAUAGGUUUUGCAUUGGCUUUAUUUAUGAAAGGUCUAUAUAAAGAAAGCAGCAAAGCCUAUGAGAGGGCCUUGUCUGUUGUUGAAUCAGAGCGGGACAAAGCCCAUAUCUUGACAGCUCUGGCAAUAACGGAGUAUAAACAAGGAAAAAUGGACGUAGCCAAGACAUUGCUAUUUAAAUGCUCCAUCUUAAAGGAACCAACCACAGAAAGCCUUCAAGCCCUGUGUGCUCUUGGAUUGACAAUGCAGGAUGCUACACUUUCAAAAGCGGCACUUAAUGAAUUGCUGAAGCACAUCAAACAGAAAGACAGUGAUUAUCCAAAGUGCCUUCUCAUUUCAGCGAUUUAUGCACUGCAAGGCCGCAAUGUGGCAGUGCAGAGACAAGCAUCUAAAGCUGUUCACAGUAACCCAGCUGAUCCAACUCUUUGGUCUCUGUUGUCCCGAGUAGUUGCUCAGUAUACUAACCGAAGUGCAAAGGGAGGUGCUAUAGCAGGAAAUGUGGCUCAUAUUUUGGACUCAAAUCAUGGAAAGAAGGCAUUACUGUACACUGCAGUAAAUCAAUUAGCUAUGGGAAGCAGUUCAGCAGAAACUGAAAAAAAUAUUGCACUAAAGACCAUUCAGAAAGCAGCUUUUCUUUCUCCAGGUGAUCCUGCUGUCUGGGCUGGGCUGAUGGCAGCCUGUCAUGCUGAUGAUAAACUGGCUCUAGUGAACAAUACGCAGCCAAAGAGAAUGGACCUGCACUUGCCACUGUUAUCUGCUGUUUCCGCUUCAAUUAAAGACAAAGAAUUCAUUAAAGAUUAUAACCAAUCUCUGGAAAAGUGGUGUCUCUCCCAGGCUGUCACUGGUCUAAUAGACAUGGGAAGAAUAUCUGAAGCUGAAGCCCUCUGCACGAAGAAUUUAAAAAGUAACCCUGAUCAGCCAGCUGUUAUCUUACUUUUGAGACAAGUUCAGUGUAAACUACUCCUCGAGUCACAAAACCCUCUCCCAGAUGCCGUCCUUGAAGAGCUGCAAAAAACAGUCAUGUCCAACUCAACUUCUGUUCCAGCAUGGCAGUGGCUGGCACACAUUUAUCAGUCCCAAGGAAUGAUGGGUGCUGCAGAAAUGUGUUAUAGAAAGAGUCUGCAAGUAGCAUCCCAACAGGGCAGUUGGAGUGGGAAGCUGUCGAGUCUGUUGAGACUAGCCCUUCUUGCUUUAAAAGCCUGCAUGGCUAAUAUUUCCAGUGAUCACUGGUCAUCUUUGGUUCAAGAAGCUACAACUGAGGCCUUAAAACUUUGUUUUUGUCCAUUGGCUGUCUUUUUACAAGCCUUGUUACAAUUCAACCGCAAAAUGGGGGCAAGAGAGACACGGCGACUUUUGGAAAGAGUGGUGUAUCAGCCUGGGUAUCCCAAGUCUAUUGUGUCAACCGCACGUUGGUAUCUACUGAGACACUUACAUGCCAAAAAUGACUACGAGCUUAUUGAUGUGCUGGUAAACAAUGCCAAAACUCAUGGAGAUACAAGAGCAUUGGAACUGAAUCAGAAAUUGUCUUCACAGUAACAGAUCAAGCACUUGCCAUUCUCUGCCCAUUUCUUCCUUAUCCUCACAACUGCCCAACCGAUUCAGUGCUUUCAACAGCCUGGCCCACAGACUUAGCCAGAGACGAGCUGCAAAAGGUUGUCUGUGCCUCUCUGGUGCCUGUGCCUUCCUGCUUCCUCUGGAAAGCACUUUAGCCUUUACCCCAGGAUGGACUGAAUCUAUCUGCUUAAAUGCUUAUGAGUCAGUUCUUAUUUUCCAUCUGCUUUCUGGGGUGUCACUUGCUUCACAAGGUUACUUUCUCCUGCUGUGUCGACUUGGUUAGGCUUUGCCCCAGGCCUAUAGCCAAGGAGCGACCUUUUGACUAAAUUGCCUAGUUCUAGCCUCUGAGAACCUCAGAAUCAGGUUUUCUAGACAGGAAGGUUCAAAAACACUAUAGUUCAUACCAUCUCAGGUAAUUUUUUUUGCAUGGAUGUACACACAUCCUCUCUUUGUUAUCUUCUCUUAAGACUCCUGCCCGGUUACUGUGAGGCUCAAUCAAAAAUGUACAAUUUUUACAGAGCUUACUUCAUGCCAGACCUUUGUUAAGUGUUUUAUACAUUGUCAUUUAAUAUUAAUAAGUAAAGGAAAAGUGCUAAGCAGCAUGCUUAAAGCAAAGAAAAACCUGAGAUGCAAUCAGUGUUUUCAGAUUCUAGGAACUUUAAAGUAGGCAAAAUUUCCCUUCAUUUUAUAUGUAAGUUUAGAGAAAUUACAUUACAAGUUAUUUCCAGAAGCGUCAAUAUUUAGCAUUCAUAUUCAAUAUUUCUUUGAGAAUUAUAGUGCAUUUUUGCUAAUUUCUGUCCACAUUUUGGCUCUUGUUGAUUAAUUAGGUGUUUGUAGUCCAGCUAGACAUCUAAUAACCAUUUUCCAUGGGAAAAAUAUAUUCCAGCUUAUGAGUAAACUUUCAGGACACAAUCUCUUUGUUCGGGGUCACUUGCCAUAUUUCUAGAAUGUCCCUUGCAUUAAUUUCUGGUCAGAAUUAAAAAAAAAAAAACACGAAACGUAGUUUAAAAUGCUGUGCUCUUUUUUCAGUUUAUAAAAUGAGUCGACAAAUUUCCUUUCAUUUGGGAAUCUACACAGAACAGGAUUGGGCAGAAAUGCUCAGGUUCUGCAUUAAGGGAAUUAAAAGAUUCGGUCACCUAAACUAGCAUAAAUAAAUAAACUACUCUGAAUCAUUAGGUAAAUAUUUACUGAUGUGUAAUAUGUGAAUAUGAAAAGAUACAUGUUUGGUUUCAUAGAAAAGCUUGUUUGGAGGAUAUUUUAUAGGAACACAGAAAUGAAGGAUUUUUAUAUAUGAGUCAGAGGGACUUGCAGAUCUAUUUCAAUUUUUGCACACUUUAAAAAAUGUGGAACUUUAUUUUGGCAUAGUUGACCCUUGUUUCUCUACAGGUCUUCCUUUCUUCCACUUUAGUUGCCAAUGGAUAGAAAGCUUCUCAGACGCCCAUGUGUAGAUAAUAUCAUAAUAUUAUCAAUAUUAUAAGCUGCUGCUUAUAAACUGUCAAUUUGCAAGAGAGGUUUUUUUUUGUUUGAUUUGGUUUUUUUCCAUUAGAAAGAUACAUUUAUGUAUCAGAUACAAGUACAGUAAUCUCCCCAUAUAUGAAUUUUUUAAGACUUUUUAUACAGAGAAUGUAAAAAAAAAAGUCAGUAAAUUCCCUUAUUUAGAGUAUAUAUCUUAUUUUUAGUUUUGAAAAUAGAGUCACUUAAGCUCUGUUGCUCUGAAAAUCCACUCAAGGUGUCCGGCUGUCCCCUUGCUAUAUAGUAAUGGGUUUUUCCUCUUUUGGACUGACUAAAAUAGGAACUUUUUGAAUAGCAGUGUUUUAAAUUCUAAUUUACCUAAAAAAAUCUUAUACAACUAUGAUUUUUUUAAAUAAAUGCUAAAUUAUCUUCAGACCUCAAAAUGUUUUGAGCGAACUUAAGAGUAGGGUCUCUUUAACAAACAGCUGUUGUGAAACAUUUGAAAUCCUUUUUUAAUAUUUUCAGUUUAGAAUUGAAAAUACAAAAUACGUAUUUGUUUUAAUGAAGGGAUAUCAUGCCAGGAGAGGGAUAAUUGGAAUUGGAGUAUCCCUUGGAAAAGGGGUUGGGUUUCAUAUUACAUUACUGGAGUAUUAAGAUAAUUUGCAUGUCAUCAUCUCUCCUGAGUUUGAAUUAGUACAAAAGUUCAUUUGGGCUACAUACUUCCCCUGUAUAUAGUACCUAUUAUAAAAACAUAUUUAAAUUAUAUUAAUUUUUUUGAAGAGAAGAUAGGCACUAAAAAAAUGUUUAUCUUGCUAUUUCUGCUUAUAUGGGAGGCAGAAUAAUGGUUCCCCAAACAUGUCAUGCCCUAAGUACCAGAACCUGUGAGUAUGUGGCAAAGGUGCUAUGCAGAUGUGACCUUGACAUGGAGAAUUAUCCUGGAUUAUUUGAAGAGUCCCGAUUUAAUCACAGAAGUCCUUAAAUGUGGAGAGACUUUCCAAGAGUGACAGUGGAAGGUCAGAGGUUCGACACUGUUGGCUUUGAAGAUGGAAGAAGGUGGUUCCAGCCAUGGACUAAAGGCAGCCUCUAGAAACUGGAAAAAGCAAGGCAACUUUUUUCCCGUGGAGUUCCCAGAGAGGGAAACAGCCCUGCUGGCAACUUGAUUGUGACCUGCUGAGACCCAUGUUGGACAUCUGACUUACAGAACUGUAAGAUAAUAAAUUUAUGUUGUUUUUAAGCCACUAAGUUUGUGGUAAUUUGUUAUGGCAGCAUAGAAAAUGAGUGCAUUGCUCACUGUGUAUAUUGGUAAAAUGAAUACACAUUCCUUUGAAUUCGAAUUUCACUAGAUCACUGAAAUUGAGGAUUAUCGUCUUAAUUGUUGCCCAGAAAAGGGGUCAUCAGAAAGAUGAUGAGUUAUUAAAAACGG